rnacentral:rRNA from 1 species
UAAGGAAUAUUGGUCAAUGGACGCAAGUCUGAACCAGCCAUGCCGCGUGAAGGAUGAAGGUCCUCUGGAUUGUAAACUUCUUUUAUCUGGGACGAAAACGGGAUUUUUAUCUCAAUUGACGGUACCAGAGGAAUAAGCACCGGCUAACUCCGUGCCAGCAGCCGCGGUAAUACGGAGGGUGCGAGCGUUAUCCGGAUUUACUGGGUUUAAAGGGUGCGUAGGUGGGCUUAUAAGUCAGUGGUGAAAUCUCCGAGCCUAACUUGGAAACUGCCGUUGAUACUAUAGGUCUUGAAUUAUCUGGAGGUAAGCGGAAUAUGUCAUGUAGCGGAGAAAUGCUUAGAUAUGACAUAGAACACCAAUUGCGAAGGCAGCUUACUACACAAUCAUUGACACUGAGGCACGAAAGCGUGGGUAGCGAAC